rnacentral:lncRNA from 1 species
GGGGCACCGGGGUCUGCUUUCCGACUCCCUUCCGACUCUGCGCCUGCGCAGGAAGCUUUUUGGGGAGUGUUGUGAAUUCCGAGGGCUCCACACUUAAAAGGUUGUACACUCACCUGUCUACCUGGACUCCAAUUUCCAUAUUUCCAGCCACUUGAGGACUGAGAGGUGGAUGAUAAACCCUGUCAUAGUGGAGCAAGUUCAGGUGUUUAACCGCUGUUACGGGGGAUCUGCCUUUUCUCCCUCUCCUUUCUUACUUCCAUGAGUAUGUAUGUGCAGAGAUUGAAAAAUGACCUUGAGAGAGUCCAUCCAUCUAACUCCAGGGAGUCGUGCUCUGUCACCCAGGCUGGAGUGUAGUGGCGCGAUCUCUGCUCUGCUCAUUGCAACCUCUGCCUCCCUGGUUCAAGCAAUUCUCCUGCUUCAGCCUCCCAAGUAGCUUGGAUUACAGGCGCCCGCCACCACACCCAGCUAAUUUUUGUAUUUUUAGUAGAGACGGGGUUUCACCGUGUUGGCCAAGCUGGUCUCGAACUCCUGACCUCGUGAUCCGCCCACCUUGUCCUCCCAAAGUGCUGGGAUUACAGGCGUGAGCCACCGCGCCCGGCCAAUAAGCUUUUUUCUUAAAAAGUACUCAGAAGACUUUUCUAUCCAUUCAUUCUGUUAACGCGCGUCAGCGUGAAGAGACCACCAAACAGGCUUUGG